rnacentral:rRNA from 1 species
UGGGGAAUUUUGGACAAUGGGCGAAAGCCUGAUCCAGCCAUGCCGCGUGAGUGACGAAGGCCUUAGGGUUGUAAAGCUCUUUUGGCGGGGAAGAUAAUGACGGUACCCGCAGAAUAAGCUCCGGCUAACUUCGUGCCAGCAGCCGCGGUAAUACGAAGGGAGCUAGCGUUGUUCGGAAUCACUGGGCGUAAAGCGCACGUAGGCGGAUUGUUUAGUCAGGGGUGAAAUCCCGGAGCUCAACUUCGGAACUGCCUUUGAUACUGGCAAUCUCGAGUCCGAUAGAGGUGGGUGGAAUUCCUAGUGUAGAGGUGAAAUUCGUAGAUAUUAGGAAGAACACCAGUGGCGAAGGCGGCUAACUGGUCCGGUACUGACGCUGAGGCGCGAAAGUUAGGGGAUCAAACAGGAUUAGAUACCCAAGUAGUCCCUGAGCGGGCUGGCAAGGCGCAU